GGCACCGUGGCUUAACUGGUCUAAAGCAACUGUCUUGUACACAGUAGAUCCUGGGUUAAAAUCCCAGCAGUGCCU